CAAGAACAGAACAGUAGAAAACCCAAGGCAGAGCUGAAGACAGUGACAGAAGGGAUUAUUGCUUCUGAAGAAGAAAAAAAUGAUUACAAAAGCCUUCAACUUGGAUUCUUCUUUCCUUGCCUACAGGGAAAGUCAUUGAUGUUUGAACCGCUAGUCAACAAACCUUUCCACAAUUCAGUCCAAAAAGGAAGGAUAAAGAUGAUAUUAAUUUGUUAUGUACUUCUCUAAAUCUUAUGCCUCACUUAUGGAAUAAAAUUAUAUAACUAGGUAAUUUCUAAACAUUUUAUCUCUGAGAUAUUAUGGAGCUCUACGUCAUUAAGAUACUUUCAAGACCCUUAAAAUAUAUAUUAUAUUGGUUACUGUCCUGAAGAUGUAAUCUGGAGUUGGUCAAGUCCAUGAGUCACCACUAAGAAGAAAGGCCCUCAGAAGAAAUGUCUAUCCCGGGCCAUGUACAUUGGAUUUUUAUUAGAGAAAAAUAGACUUUAUUAUGUUAAACACAGAGAUUUUGAAGUUGUUUGUUAUAGCAUUCAGCCUGUUGUGACUAAUACACUUUCCAGAUAACAUUUAUUCUGUGUCCUAGAGAUUGAAGUGAAGUCAGUUAUCAAAAAGUGGUAAAAAUGACUUCUAUGGAAACAGAAUAUCUAGUUUAAAAUAGAGGAAAUAGAAAGUGCAAAGGACAAGAGGAGGGAGAGAGAAAGGAAGGGAGGGACAGAGAGAGAGAGAGAGAGAGUGUUACCGUACCUUGUUUAGUAACUGUAAAGUGUAGUAUCUGUAGGUCCCAUAUUUACUCCCUUCUUACUCUCCCCUUGUUCACUGGGCUCUAACCCCAUUACCCUUAUCUCUGUUCCCUAAAGACACCAAUCUCUUCUCUGCUCUGGCUAUUUCCCCUGCUUGAAAUGUCUUCCCUGGAAUCUUUGGCUAAUUCCUAUUCACCCUGAGUGUCUCAAAUUAAAUGAUUCUUCCAAGAAGAAGCAUCUCCUGAAAAUCCAGUUUAAAUUAGACCCUUAUUGUUAACCUCUUUAGAGAACCUUGUUAUUUUCCUUUAAAAUAGUUAUCACCAUAU